CACGUAGGGCGCAAGCGUUGUCCGGAAUUAUUGGGCGUAAAGAGCUCGUAGGCGGUCUGUUGCGUCUGCUGUGAAAACCCGGGGCUUAACCCCUGGCUUGCAGUGGAUACGGACAGACUAGAGGUAGGUAGGGGAGAAUGGAAUUCCCGGUGUAGCGGUGAGAUGCGCAGAUAUCGGGAGGAACACCGGUGGCGAAGGCGGUUCUCUGGGCCUUACCUGACGCUGAGGAGCGAAAGCGUGGGGAGCGAACAGG
rnacentral:rRNA from 1 species